rnacentral:misc_RNA from 1 species
CAACCCUCGAACCCCUCCGGGGGAUCGGCGUUGGGGAUCGGGACCCCUCACCGGGUGCCGGCCCUGAAAUACAGUGGCGGUCUCGCCGCAGCCUCUCCUGCGCAGUAGUUUGCACAACUCGCACCGGGAGCGCGGCGCGUCCACGUCCGUAAAACACCCAACUUCUGAAAUG